rnacentral:lncRNA from 1 species
AGCCAGCCACGCUCCACCGUCCACGAGUGCAGAGACGCACACGCAGUCGACCGCUCAUCUAUUCUCUCCACACGACCCUGAUCCUAAUCCCUAAGCUCUAGCGUGGCGGCGGUGGCUAGCCAGGUCGCCUGCAGCAGGCGGGGCAGCCAACGGCAAGGCAGCCAACGGCAGGGCAGCCAACAGCGGCUAUAGUCUGGGGGGCUAGAGGGCGCCGGCACAGCGGCAGCAAGCGGCAGCCCCAGCCGGGGCCUAGGCGCCUCACAGUAGAAACAGCAGUCCGGACGUCCGGGCGUCCGGCUACUUCUGAUUCCGGCGCAGUUCCGGCCAGAUUGCCCGAAGAUGGAAAGGAAGAGGGAGGAAAUAUGAAAUCCAAAGGAAAGGGGAUGAGGUGAUUUCUCAGUUUUUCUGAAAUUUUGUAGCAAAUUUUAACAGUAGCUUGAAGCCUCAAAUUGAAGCAGAUUGUAGUGGCAUAUUAAUGUUGUGAACACUCUGGUUGUAAACUGCAGAUUUGAAAAAAUAUUUUGAAAUGCUUGGCAGUAGCAGCAGCUCAAAAUCGAACCCAAAUACCCGUGAAAGUGUCAAUGUUUCGGCACCUGCCACUCAUCAAGAUCAAGUGAGUUCCAUGGAAAUAGAGCAUGAAAAAUCGAUGCAAACAGAACAAGUGGAAGAACAAAUUACAUAUUCUCUUGAAGCUAUAGUGGAAGAACAAACUACAGAUUCUAUUGAAGCUAUAGUUUUAGGCUGUUUUUCUAUUGAAACAUGUCUACAAUUUCAUUGUAUUUUGUUAUUUGUUUGUAGUGUGCAUUGUUAGUGUGUAUUGACCUCCUUUGAUUCCCAUAAAUAAAAAAUUUAGGGAGACUUCGCCCCACCUUAA